rnacentral:rRNA from 1 species
GAAACCCAAAAGAUCGAAUGGGGAGAUUCAUCGUCCGCUCAUUUUCUAUAUAUAUGAGUUAUGAUGCGAGUUAUUAUUUUUAUAGUAUCGCUUGCACAUUCUUAUAUAUUUAGUUGCAAGAUGUUGUCGGCGUGCACUUCUCCCCUAGUAGGACGUCGCGACCCGUUGGAUGUCGGUCUACGGCUCAAUUGAUAGACUUUAAUGUUGUUUGUAAAAGAAUUAAUAUUGAAGAUCAUUGAUGUUUUCUGACCGACUAUUCGGCGGUACUCAUACGGUAUUUAGCCGCAUUUAUUAUAUAUGCGUCCAUGCCUGUUGCAAGCGAGGCCAAUUUUACUAGUAGUACGGCCCUAGUGCCGUCGCUAGUAUUGGCCAGCUGUUGGUUAAACGGUGUUCUAGGACUGGCUAAAAUAUAAUUACCGGUCGGCGACGCUACUGCUUUGGGUACUUUCAGGACCCGUCUUGAAACACGGACCAAA